UUGACCUCGGAUCAGGUAAGGAU
rnacentral:rRNA from 1 species